UUCCUUUGCUUUUCACUUUACUCUUUCGCAUAUCUCCUUCUCCUUUUUUUUCUCUACUUUUUUUUACCUCUGUACUUUUCUCAGUCAGGAUUCUCAACCUCAGUUGUGCUCUAACCUACCUUCAUUUCUCUUGCAAAAGGUCAAAUGGAAAACGUAGCUCAUAUUGAUAAAUUGCAACCAUAUGUAAAGGCAGCAAAGAUAAAAGUUCAGAUUUGCAGGAUAUGGAAGUCGACAAUCCCUGGAACUGUUCAGAAAUAUAUAGCUCUGCAUUGUAUAUUACUUGAUGAAAUGCAAUAUGUGAUUGAAACUUGCACAACGGAGAUGGACUAUGAAAUUGUUGCUUCGAAAAUAGAAGCUGGAAACUGCUAUGAAAUUAUGGGUUUCCGUACGAAUAGAAUGAGAGGUCAAUACAAAGUUGUGCCACAUGAUACCCAAGUUGUGUUCACUAGGAAAACAAUUUUCAAAAAAUUGUCUAGUGUGUUUCCACCUAUCCAUAGACACCGGUUCUUUUUGCAAGAUUAUAACACACUUUAUCUUCGCCUCAACAUGGUUGAUAUCCUUACAGAUAUCAUUGGUCAUGUAAUUGGUGUGCAAGAGUUGGACCAAAGCAAAUUAAUCAGAGAAUUGCACAUAAAUGUGAUAUAGCUAUUGAAAACAUCAGAUUGUGUUGAGUAGCACUACCUCAUCGCUUUUCUUUCUUGAUCCAGACAUCCCGGAACUAAAUGCGUACAAAUCAGUGUUUUCUAUCAACACAGAAGCUGUAAAACUAUUGGCACCGUCUUCGAGACAAGUGAAUGAAGCUCAAAUUUUGCAGACUGCCAGGAGAGUGACAGUUGAUGAAUUAGCUUUUUUUUAUCCAGAUUUAUAUAAGGAUGAGACAUUUUUGUGUAGAGCAUCCAUCAAGCGAUUUGACACACGAUAUAACUGGUGGUACAGUACCUGCCCAAAUUGUGUAAAGCAGAUGCAGAAGGAUCCCUACGUGCGCGUAGGAAAAAAAAUUAUCGUUAAGUAGAAAAGACAAAAAUGCCUCUAGAUGGCUUAACGUAAUGAUAUGAGGACGUAUUUUAUCCUUAUAUAUUUUAUUGGAUUUCUUGACAUAUUUGGAUA